rnacentral:rRNA from 1 species
GUGUCAGCAGCCGCGGUAAUACGUAGGGCGCAAGCGUUGUCCGGAAUUAUUGGGCGUAAAGAGCUUGUAGGUGGCUUGUCGCGUCUGCCGUGAAAACCCGAGGCUCAACCUCGGGCGUGCGGUGGGUACGGGCAGGCUAGAGUGUGGUAGGGGAGACUGGAACUCCUGGUGUAGCGGUGAAAUGCGCAGAUAUCAGGAAGAACACCGAUGGCGAAGGCAGGUCUCUGGGCCAUUACUGACACUGAGAAGCGAAAGCAUGGGUAGCGAACAGGAUUAGAAACCCUUGUAGUCC